rnacentral:rRNA from 1 species
CCUACGGGAGGCAGCAGUAAGGAAUAUUGGUCAAUGGACGCAAGUCUGAACCAGCCAUGCCGCGUGAAGGAUGAAUGCCCUCUGGGUUGUAAACUUCUUUUAUAGGGGACGAAAAAGGGUCUUUUAGAUCAACUGACGGUACCCUAGGAAUAAGCACCGGCUAACUCCGUGCCAGCAGCCGCGGUAAUACGGAGGGUGCAAGCGUUAUCCGGAUUUACUGGGUUUAAAGGGUGCGUAGGUGGGUUGGUAAGUCAGCGGUGAAAUCUUCGAGCUUAACUCGGAAACUGCCAUUGAUACUAUCAGCCUUGAAUAUCCUGGAGGUGAGCGGAAUAUGUCAUGUAGCGGUGAAAUGCUUAGAUAUGACAUAGAACACCAAUUGCGAAGGCAGCUCACUACGGGAUUAUUGACACUGAGGCACGAAAGCGUGGGGAUCAAACAGGAUUAGAUACCCUGGUAGUCCACGCCCUAAACGAUGGAUACUCGACAUUUGCGAUAUACAGUAAGUGUNUGAGAGAAGACAUUAAGUAAUACCACCGUACGGAAGGUAACGGUAAGUCGCGAAGAGUUAGUUAAACGUUAACGAAAGGAAAGUUAGACGGCGUUGAGACGUUGCCGACGGACGACGACGAGGGGAGGAGGAG